CCUACGGGUUGCAGCAGUGGGGAAUACUGCACAAUGGGCGCAAGCCUGAUGCAGCCAUGCCGCGUGUAUGAAGAAGGCCCUAGGGUUGUAAAGUACUUUCAGUCGGGAGGAAGGCGUUGAUGCUAAUAUCAUCAGCGAUUGACGUUACCGACAGAAGAAGCACCGGCUAACUCCGUGCCAGCAGCCGCGGUAAUACGGAGGGUGCAAGCGUUAAUCGGAAUUACUGGGCGUAAAGCGCACGCAGGCGGUUGAUUAAGUUAGAUGUGAAAUCCCCGGGCUUAACCUGGGAAUGGCAUCUAAGACUGGUCAGCUAGAGUCCUGUAGAGGGGGGUAGAAUUCCAUGUGUAGCGGUGAGAUGCGCAGAGAUGUGGAGGAAUACCGGUGGCGAAGGCGGCCCCCUGGACAAAGACUGACGCUCAGGUGCGAAAGCGUGGGGAGCAAACAGGAUUAGAUACCCUCGUAGUC
rnacentral:rRNA from 1 species